ensembl:snRNA U4 U4 spliceosomal RNA
AGCUCUGUGCAGUAGCAGUAUCGUAGCCAGUGAGGUUUAUGCGAGGCACAAUUACUGCCAACUGAAACUACGAAUGGAGUAUUAAAAUUCAGAAUUCUGGGGUCGGGGAAACCUUGAAUUUGAUUUACUUUU